UCAAGAAGUAAUUUAAUUAGAAUGUCUGCUUUGGGUGCUGACAGUGGAGGGGUUUAGCCUUCCUUCUUGAU